UCUGGAUGUGUACGUGCAAAUCACAGGGC
rnacentral:piRNA from 1 species